AUAUAAAUAAGCGGAGGAGAAGAAACUAACCAGGAUUCCCUUAGUAACUGCGAGUGAAGUGGGAAGAGCUCAAGCUUAAAAUCUACAGGGGUCUCCCCUGUCGAAUUGUAGUUUCACAAAUGGCGAUUACGGGCAGUCCGCUCCAGUAUAAGUCCUCUGGAAAGAGGCGCCAUAGAGGGUGAGAGCCCCGUACAUGACUGGAUUGUAAUACAAGGGCUGUCAAUACGUACCGCCAAUUUGCAGAGUCGGGUUGUU
rnacentral:rRNA from 1 species